CCAUGGGUGAUUUAUUUUGUCUCCAACUUCUGAUUUUUCUAUCAUCUGCAAGUACAAAUGACUUGCUGACUACUCCCUCCGUUCCAAAUUGUAGGUUGUUUUAGCUUUUUUAAGUUCAUAGAUAUUAUUAUGCAUCUAGAUAUAGUGUAUGUCUAAGUGCGUAAUAACAUCUAUGAACCUAGAAAAGUUAAAACGACCUAUAAUUUGGAACGGAGGGAGUACAUAAUAUGAAUGGGAAUUCAUAAUAUUGACACAACUAGAUAAACUAAUUGUCUAUUGACUGUAAAAUAUUUUCUUUAAAUACAUGGACAGUGAUGGUGUAUAUAUGUAAAAAAACGAAAAAAGAUGGUUACUUGAUGAGCAUAAAUGAAGAUUAGCUCCAAUUGGUGCUAUACAAAUAGAUCAGGAGUGUGUUGGAUGUUUUGU
rnacentral:lncRNA from 1 species